rnacentral:rRNA from 1 species
UUUAUGGAGAGUUUGAUCCUGGCUCAGGAUGAACGCUGGCGGCGUGCCUAAUACAUGCAAGUCGAGCGAACAGAUAAGGAGCUUGCUCCUUUGACGUUAGCGGCGGACGGGUGAGUAACACGUGGGUAACC